UUUGAGCACGUUACACAACACUAAGUAAACUGUAAUUUCUAACACAAAAAAGGUAAACAAACCAUUAAUAGAAAACAAUGACUUGGUAAUGUAAAGUUUUGGAUGUUGCAAUACCAAGGCGGAACCUCUAUUGCCGGCUACAGCCGGCUGACCUACUGUGAACACUUAAACACACACGCAGCAUUAUUCAGCGUUUAUCGUUGACUUAUACCGGCAGUGCAUAAACUUUGGUCGUACCUGAACUCGUACAAGGCCACCUAAUCUUGAUGAACUUCAUAAGGGAAUAAGGGACGCACAAAAUAGAGUGAACCCAAAUAGACGGCGGGAAACCCAAAGUGCGUCUCGCUCUUUUUCGAUUUUCCUGUACUUCUGGUUGUCUACCUCUUUCUAAUCCGCGCACAGUUCACAAAAGUAUUCGGCUUUGCAAGCGGCAACUGUUGAACCACCAGGAUUGGAUGUCGUCGUAGAACUGUGUCUUGUGGCCAAAUGCGGGAGCAUGUAGCUUGGCGCAAAGGUCGCAAAACGGGGAGCUGUAGGCCAAGCGGUAGUGGCUGCGCCACCAGAAGUAGCUUACAUACAAAUCCGGAUCUGCAACCACGAGCUUCAUAUACUGGGCCAGCUCUUCCACGGACUUGAAGCGAUUAGCAUCGACGUAAGAGUGCGGAGGCAGGAUGCGGGAAUAGUCCGCUCCGCCGAAAACCACGGGUAUUACGGUCCGUUGCAGUGCGUCAAAAAGUUUCUCCGUCACGUAGUCGUCGCACAGCGAGUUUUCAAAAGCCAGGUAGAAAAAGUAAUCAGUGUCUAACAUCUCGUCGCAGUGCGGAUCCCCCCGGAUGCAGCUGAAAUUGAAUUAAUAUUUAGAAAUAAACUUUCACGAACUUGAGGGUGGAUAUCAUAGCCUACAAAUAUGCAUAUGCCUUUGUUUAAGAAAUCUGCGUGCGUUUUGCUUAAUAUUGUUGUUCACCUGAAAGAACCUCACCUGAGUGUUCCGCAAUUUCCGUAAAUGUCCACGUCAAAAAAUUC